UACGGAGGUUGCGAGCGUUGUUCGGAAUUACUGGGCGUAAAGGGAGCGCAGGUGGCUGGGUAAGUCUGGAGUGAAAUCCCGAGGCUCAACCUCGGACGUGCUUUGGAUACUGCCCGGCUUGAGUGUGCAAUAGGAGAGCGGAAUUCCAGGUGUAGCGGUGAAAUGCGUAGAUAUCUGGAGGAACACCCGUGGCGAAAGCGGCUCUCUGGUGCAACACUGACGCUGAGGCUCGAAAGCGUGGGUAGCGAACGGGAUUAGAUACCCCGGUAGUCCACGCCGUAAACGUUGUGCACUAGGUGUGGGAGGUAUCGACCCCUUCCGUGCCGCAGCUAACGCAUUAAGUGCACCGCCUGGGGAGUACGGUCGCAAGACUG
rnacentral:rRNA from 1 species